CAGACUUAGUUGGGUUUUAGAGGGGCGUAGGCAGCCAACUCAGUCAGCGGUGAAAUCGGCAGUUUAAGUGUAAAAGCGCCGAUGAUAUUUCGAGUCUAUGAAUUGGGUGGUGUGCCCCAAACCCGGUGUAGAGGUGAUAUGUUUGAGCUCACACACAAAUGUGGAGUGCGAAGUGAGUUCUCCAAGCCAAGAUUAACGUGCGCCACGAAAAUAUUGCGAUCAAAAAAGGAUUAGUAUCCCUGCUCGUCCACACCGUAAUGGAUGAUAAUUCGCUGUAGGCGCUCGACCCUCCGUGGCCAAGGGAAAGCGAUAAGUUAUCCACCUGGGGAGUACGACCGCAAGGUUGAAACUCAAAGGAAUUGAGGAGGGCCCGCACACGCGGAGGAACAUGUGGUUUGAUUCGAUGAUACGCGAGGAACCCUACUCGGGCUCGAACGGUGCAUGAAUGUUCAAGAGAUUGGACAGUCGUUCGGGACAUGUAUCGAGGUGGUGCAUGGUUGUCGUCAGCUCGUGCCGUGAGGUGUCGGCUUAAGUCCCAUAACGAGCGCAACCCUUGUCAUUAGUUACCAUCAGGUUAAGCUGGGGACUUUAGUGAGACUGCCCCCCUAAGGUGUGAGGAAGGGGGGGAUGACGUCAAAUCAGCACGGCCCUUAUGUCCGGGGCGACACACGUGUUACAAUGGGAGGUACAGAGAGCAGCCAGUUAGUGAUAACGCGUCAAUCUCAAAAACCUUUCGCAGUUCGGAUUGGAGUCUGCAACUUGAAUCCAUGAAGUUGGAUUUGCUCGUAAUCGCGCAUCAGC
rnacentral:rRNA from 1 species